GGCUCCUGGAGGUGUAAGAAUCGGUAUGAUUAUCUACCCCUAUAAGUAAUUGACAUCACAUUUAGGAUGUGUUUGGUUGAAAGUUAAAACAUCAAGGAUUAAAUGUUACCCUUAUAAAUUUUAAUCUUUAAAGAUGGCAGUUAUUAAUCUAGCCUCCCCAAGUUAACAUUUAACCUCUCAAAAAAAGCAUAAUUAUUAAUAAAAAAGGCAUAAUUAUUAAUAAGGUGAAAAGUUAACCUAAUCUCUUUAAGUAUCUAAACAACAUUAAUGAGAGGUUAAAAUUUACAAAAAUAAAAAUUUUCCCUUGUUAACUUUGUAUCAAACUGCCUCUCUUAGGGUAACUAUGGUAAAGUUCUCAAGUCUAGGAAUGUGAGAGUAUAAUUAUGUUUUGGAGCUGAAAAAGAUGGUAGGAUCUUUGUUCAGAAGUUGUUUUGCCUCAUUUUUGCCUGAAAUGCAACACCAUAGUAUUAAGUUAUAUAUUUGCUUUGAAUUGGUUGCAACUCUGUUCCACUGUCUUAAAAGAAAUCUUGGAGUCAAUUGUGGAAAAUUCUCACUGAUGGGGAGGAAGAUGGUAGUUAACCUUUCAGAUCAUGUUCAAUUCUAAACAAAACCCCUCAUUUUACUAGUAGUUGUGAAUUAUUGAUUGGAGUUUGUAUUUGCAGGGACCCCGGCCAUGACUUCAAGA
rnacentral:misc_RNA from 1 species